rnacentral:rRNA from 1 species
UUGGUGGGGUAAUGGCUCACCAAGGCUACGACGGGUAGCUGGUCUGAGAGGAUGAUCAGCCACACUGGGACUGAGAUACGGCCCAGACUCCUACGGGAGGCAGCAGUGGGGAAUUUUGCGCAAUGGGCGAAAGCCUGACGCAGCAACGCCGCGUGAGCGAAGAAGGCCUUCGGGUUGUAAAGCUCUGUCAGGGGGAAAGAAGGCACCUGGGUUAAUAGCCCAAGGGCUGACGGUACCCCCAAAGGAAGCCACGGCUAACUACGUGCCAGCAGCCGCGGUAAUACGUAGGUGGCAAGCGUUGUCCGGAAUCAUUGGGCGUAAAGAGCGCGUAGGUGGCUUGUCAGGUCUGAUGUGAAAUCCUGGGGCUCAACUCCAGAACUGCAUCGGAAACCGGCUUGCUAGAGUCUGGGAGAGGAGAGUGGAAUUCCUGGUGUAGAGGUGAAAUUCGUAGAUAUCAGGAGGAACACCGGUGGCGAAGGCGACUUCCUGGCCCUAUACUGACGCUGAGACGCGAGAGCGUGGGUAGCAAACAGGAUUAGAUACCCUGGUAGUCCACGCCGUAAACGAUGUUCACUAGGUGUUGGGGGGUAUUGACCCCCUCAGUGCCGGAGCUAACGCAUUAAGUGAACCGCCUGGGGAGUACGGUCGCAAGACUAAA